rnacentral:tRNA from 1 species
GUUCGUGUAGCUCAGUAGGAUAGAGCAAUCGCCUCCUAAGCGAUAGGUCAGGGGUUCGACUCCCUUCACGAACGCCA